rnacentral:lncRNA from 1 species
GCAAAGCAGGGUUUGAUGUCGACCAUCACCAGGACUGCUGUUGUCUCAGCAGCAGUACUGUGCUUCCUCGCAUCCAGGUGGCUGUCUCACUUAAUCUACAAGAAUUUCUAUUUCCAUGACUACAGUCAUGCUUUCAGAUGAUUGUUCUAGAUUUUGCCCUUUCUCUGUAAACAGAUCGAAAUGCUUAUGUGUCUAUUAUUUUAUUAUAUCUGUAAAUAAAAGGUUUCAACUAAAUUAUAGAGAUGAUAAAAGAGCAAAUACAAGAUCUACAUCUGUGCGAAAGGCAUAUUUCAGAAACAUCAUUUUUUUUUGGAUCCUGGUGUUGUGUCCAAAACUACUGUCCACUGACCUGCUAUAUUGAGUUUUAAUUUUGCAAACAUUUCUUUUCAUAUGUAUAUAUACAUACACAUAUACAUAUCUGCCUUGGCUUAUAAUCUUUAGAAUCUAUGGGAUUUACCAUGACUAAUAUUUGUCGUUUCUGGCUAAGCCAUUGCUGUGGCUAUAUUGUUAGUAAAAAUGAGAAGAUUUUGCAAAGUAUCUUUUUUUUCGUAGCUGAUAAUUUUCUUUUUUCCUCCCCUCCUCUUUCUCUUAUUGAUUGAAAAUGGCCAUUCUUGAGUUCUUGACGUUGCAGACACUAUUUAACAGAUGGGGAGCUUGGUAACUAGGAAUGUCUGCACAGGAGUGACUUGAGGUUUCUUAAACAAAACGAACCAUUUUUAACUAUAAAUUAACUUCUAAUACCAUGUAUUCUAGGUCAGUGCUUGUGACUGGAAGAGAGAUGUCAAGUUAUAUUACAAAUUUAUUGAACUCCUAGUGAUCAUGAUGUGCAUCAAAGAAGUUAUGAUAGUAGCAUUCGAGCUCUUACUUCGUCAAGUGAACAUGCUGAUUGGGUUGGCCUAUCUGGCAUCUCGGGCCAGGCCUGUGAUGACGUGUGCAAGAAGGGUCCAGUUCUGCACUAUACUAACUUAUAUUCUGUUUGAUUUUUUUAACUCUAGUUUUGUGUGCAUAUUUUAUCAGUAGUCCGCAAGUAAAAGACCUGUUCAAUGCAUCGAGAAACGGGAGGGGAAAAAAAAGAGUUGGGAGGGGGGGCGUUAUGAGUAAGGCUUUUAGAAAUUAAAAACUAUGUUUUUUUCUGUCCUGCCAAACUAGCAUUGAAAGACACAACGUCUGAAAUGAAAUCAUCUACUGAGCAAAGAUGUGCUUCUUCCAUUUGCAAAUGGCGCUCCCAAUUUUAUUUUUUUUAACCUAUUUGUUAUUUAAAAUUUUCCACUGCAGCAUUGUCCUCAACAAGUAUGGCUUCUCUGUUUCCCAAGUGAUCUCCAUGUAAAAGCAAGGAUCUCUUCCUGCAGAUUAGGUACACGAUGUGAGAAUUGAUCCACAUGGACUUAAACGCACUGUCUUCAAAUUCUUGUUGACAGUGUAGAGAUAGAUUUCAGUGGCAAUUAUUUUUGAGGAUAAAAAUACUAAGUGCCUCUUUGUUCACCUCUGUCCAGCCAAAAUAGUAUGGAAAGCGACUGCAUCUGGAAUGGAA